UACGUAGGGACCAAGCGUUGUUCGGAUUUACUGGGAGUAAAGGGCGCGUAGGCGGCCAUUCAAGUCAGCUGUGAAAUCUCCGGGCUUAACUCGGAACGGUCAGCUGAUACUGCUUUGCUAGAGUGCAGAAGGGGCAAUCGGAAUUCUUGGUGUAGCGGUGAAAUGCGUAGAUAUCAAGAGGAACACCUGAGGUGAAGACGGGUUGCUGGGCUGACACUGACGCUGAGGCGCGAAAGCUAGGGUAGCAAACGGG
rnacentral:rRNA from 1 species